UUUAAGAACAAAUUUUCUUCCUUACGAAAAUUGUUAUCGCGUUAUCGAACAACAAUUUAUAGAUAUUGGAUCACAUUGGCGUUUUUCUCGAUCAAAAUAUGAACCUUUAGCUUUAACAAUCUUUUUUUCAACGAGAAUUCAACUGACGUAUUCCACUUUUGUAAAACUUCGUGGUUUCAGUCACGAAAAAAUUCUUCGAAUGCUGCGAUUACAGCUUCUUCAAUGUCGAAUAUAUUUAAAACAACUGUAAAUGGCGAAACAAGUGAUAAUCGGUCGAUGAAAUGUCUGAUGAGUAUGGUGGUUUAUGAUGUAUGUCGAGUGUUGACACGCGAAAGAAUAGGUUAUGAUGCCUCUUUGUUUCAAAGAAUUAUUCCCUUUACAGACUAUCAUACAGUCACCGUAACUUUUUUUACUCCGUAACGAUGGUUUCAGAAUUUAGAAUUUUCAUUAGGAUCCAAUUAUUAUUCAGAUCGUGUACAAAGUUAUAAUUCUAUUCAAAAAUGGAUUUCUACUGUUUCGAGCUUUACACUUCUAAACGUCGCAACUUUUGAUCCUCUGUCGGUUGGUGCGGUACCCACUUUUCCAAUUUUUUCACUUUAUCCGUUGCACUCAAUGUCUAACAACUGUCAUCAGAGAUUUAUGUUUUCAUUUUGACUUUCGAUCUAUCUUUGUUUUGAUUUAUUUCGAGGCUUAUUUUUAAGAUUGUCAUUUCCAGAUCUGAAUUUUUGAAACUAUCACGAUCCUCAAUAAUAGAAUCUUCUCCGAAACUUAACCUAAUAUUUCGAUAUGCUUCAGUUGCACUGUGACUCAGCUUAAACUCGUACAGGAAUAAUAUUAUAAAUUCGUUUACUUUUCAAAAAAUAAUUAGGUUAAUAUAAAAAAGAACUUAUUACGCAAAAGAAAUAUAAAAGGAUAAGGUUAAAAUAUGGUAAGCAAAAUAUAGGAAAUAUUCUAUUAUUCUCACCGCAAAGGCGUAAAACAACAGCCACGAAGUAACCAGCCAGACAUCCAUACGUGUCGACCAAAGAUGGCCAAUGGACCACAGUUAACAAUUGAGGGAAGAGCACCACGUAAACGAGAUCAGAAGCCAAAUACCUU